rnacentral:lncRNA from 1 species
AAAUCUAUUUAGGCUUCGUUUGGGAUUGCGGGGAGAUUGCGUUAUGUGCGGUGAGAAACAACGAUAAGAAAAUAUCUUGUUUGUUUCGGUACGUAAUAUUGCGUUCCGCAUAUUGCGGUUAGUAGGUUACGAUAUAUUUCCUCCCUAUAUGUUUCUAGUAGGUUACUAGAAACAUGUAUAUAAUUAAGCAUAGUCCCAAUAUUUAACUAACCUUCCUAAUAUCCAACAACCACUAAAACCUCUU